AGCGAACGCUGGCGGCAGGCCCAACACAUGCAAGUCGAGCGCCCCGCAAGGGGAGCGGCAGACGGGAGAGUAACACGUGGGAACGUACCCUUCAGUUCGGAACAACCCAGGGAAACUUGGGCUAAUACCGAAUACGUCCGUAAGGAGAAAGAUUUAUCGCUGAAGGAUCGGCCCGCGUCCGAUUAGCUAGUUGGUGAGGUAACGGCUCACCAAGGCGACGAUCGGUAGCUGGUCUGAGAGGAUGAUCAGCCUCACUGGGACUGAGACACGGCCCAGACUCCUACGGGAGGCAGCAGUGGGGAAUAUUGGACAAUGGGCGCAAGCUUGAUCCAGCCAUGCCGCGUGGAUGAUGAGGGCCCUAGGGUUGUAAAGUCCUUUCGGCGGGGAAGAUAAUGACGGUACCCGCAGAAGAAGCCCCGGCUAACUUCGUGCCAGCCGCCGCCGUAA
rnacentral:rRNA from 1 species